rnacentral:rRNA from 1 species
GACGAACGCUGGCGGCGUGCUUAACACAUGCAAGUCGAACGAUGAAGCCGGAGCUUGCUCUGGUGAAUUAGUGGCGAACGGGUGAGUAACACGUGAGUAACCUGCCCUUGACUCUGGGAUAACUGCGGGAAACUGUAGCUAAUACCGGAUACGACCCUCGGAGGCAUCUCCUGGGGGUGGAAAGAAUUUCGGUCAAGGAUGGACUCGCGGCCUAUCAGCUAGUUGGUGAGGUAAAGGCUCACCAAGGCGACGACGGGUAGCCGGCCUGAGAGGGUGACCGGCCACACUGGGACUGAGACACGGCCCAGACUUCUACGGGAGGCAGCAGUGGGGAAUAUUGCACAAUGGGCGCAAGCCUGAUGCAGCAACGCCGCGUGAGGGAUGACGGCCUUCGGCUUGUAAACCUCUUUUAGCAGGGAAGAAGCGAAAGUGACGGUACCUGCAGAAAAAGCACCGGCUAACUACGUGCCAGCCGCCGCAGUAA